rnacentral:rRNA from 1 species
AGCAGGAGCUUGCUCUUGUGGAUCAGUGGCGAACGGGUGAGUAACACGUGAGCAACCUGCCCCUGACUCUGGGAUAAGCGCUGGAAACGGCGUCUAAUACUGGAUAUGUGACGUGACCGCAUGGUCUGCGUUUGGAAAGAUUUUUCGGUUGGGGAUGGGCUCGCGGCCUAUCAGCUUGUUGGUGAGGUAAUGGCUCACCAAGGCGUCGACGGGUAGCCGGCCUGAGAGGGUGACCGGCCACACUGGGACUGAGACACGGCCCAGACUCCUACGGGAGGCAGCAGUGGGGAAUAUUGCACAAUGGGCGAAAGCCUGAUGCAGCAACGCCGCGUGAGGGAUGACGGCCUUCGGGUUGUAAACCUCUUUUAGCAGGGAAGAAGCGAAAGUGACGGUACCUGCAGAAAAAGCGCCGGCUAACUACGUGCCAGCAGCCGCGGUAAUACGUAGGGCGCAAGCGUUAUCCGGAAUUAUUGGGCGUAAAGAGCUCGUAGGCGGUUUGUCGCGUCUGCUGUGAAAUCCCGAGGCUCAACCUCGGGCCUGCAGUGGGUACGGGCAGACUAGAGUGCGGUAGGGGAGAUUGGAAUUCCUGGUGUAGCGGUGGAAUGCGCAGAUAUCAGGAGGAACACCGAUGGCGAAGGCAGAUCUCUGGGCCGUAACUGACGCUGAGGAGCGAAAGGGUGGGGAGCAAACAGGCUUAGAUACCCUGGUAGUCCACCCCGUAAACGUUGGGAACUAGUUGUGGGGUCCAUUCCACGGAUUCCGUGACGCAGCUAACGCAUUAAGUUCCCCGCCUGGGGAGUACGGCCGCAAGGCUAAAACUCAAAGGAAUUGACGGGGACCCGCACAAGCGGCGGAGCAUGCGGAUUAAUUCGAUGCAACGCGAAGAACCUUACCAAGGCUUGACAUAUACGAGAACGGGCCAGAAAUGGUCAACUCUUUGGACACUCGUAAACAGGUGGUGCAUGGUUGUCGUCAGCUCGUGUCGUGAGAUGUUGGGUUAAGUCCCGCAACGAGCGCAACCCUCGUUCUAUGUUGCCAGCACGUAAUGGUGGGAACUCAUGGGAUACUGCCGGGGUCAACUCGGAGGAAGGUGGGGAUGACGUCAAAUCAUCAUGCCCCUUAUGUCUUGGGCUUCACGCAUGCUACAAUGGCCGGUACAAAGGGCUGCAAUACCGUGAGGUGGAGCGAAUCCCAAAAAGCCGGUCCCAGUUCGGAUUGAGGUCUGCAACUCGACCUCAUGAAGUCGGAGUCGCUAGUAAUCGCAGAUCAGCAACGCUGCGGUGAAUACGUUCCCGGGUCUUGUACACACCGCCCGUCAAGUCAUGAAAGUCGGUAACACCUGAAGCCGGUGGCCUAACCCU